AUUGAACGCUGGCGGCAGGCCUAACACAUGCAAGUCGAGCGGAUGAGUGGAGCCUGCUCCAUGAUUCAGCGGCGGACGGGUGAGUAAUACCUGUGAAUCUGCCUGGUAGUAGUGGACAACGUCUCCAAAGGACCGCUACUACUGCAUACUACCUACGGGUGCAAGAGGGUGAUCUUCGGACCUCACGCUAGCAGAUGAGUCUAGGUCGGAUUAGUUAGUUUGUGGGGUAAAGGCUGACCAAGCAGACGAUCCGCAAAUGGUCUGAGUGGAUGAUAGGUCACAUUAGAAGUGAGGCACGGACAAGACUCCUACGGGAGGCAGCAGUCGGGAAUAGUGGACAGUAGUCGGAAGCCUGAUCCAGCCAGGGCGAGUGUGUGGAAGAGGUGUUGGGAUUGUAAAGCAGUUCAUGUUGGGGGGAAGGGCAGUAAGUUAAUACGUAGCUGUUUUGACGUUACCAGCAGAAUAAGCACCGGCUAACUUCGUG
rnacentral:rRNA from 1 species